UAUAUGGAGUGACUUUAUUAUUGGACCUGGGUUCUUCGUGGUCAGCAUCGUAUACUAUUCUUAGGUUGGAGCUGAAGACGUAAAUGCCAACAAGGAGACACUAAAUAUAUUUGCAUUGAGCACUAAUAAAUUGCCAUUGAGGAACAAUUUGUAAAAUAUUUAGAAAAAGAGUUGAUCUAGUAGGGAAGUUAAUUAGAAAAUGACCAUCAGUAGUUGUGGUGAAUCUCAAUAUACAUUGUAUAUACUAAUAGUGAAAUAUAUUUGGACUUUGACCAUUUUAGUACUAAUGAAAAGGUAGGCAAGACUGAGUAGAACCAUAUAACAGAAUUUAGUUAGUAAAUAAGGUUACUGAUAUUCAUUGUUUGGAUUGAAGAUGUUUUGAAAAACUGUUAGUGGAUAAUUUAAUCAUUUUAAAUUUUACAUUUAAGAGUUUAGUCCUUAUAGCUAACAGUAAGCUAUGUAAUUGUGGUUAAGAAUUUAUAACAUUUAAUAAACUAAUUUACCAGGUACAAUAUAAUUUUAGGGAGGCUAUAAUUCAUAGAGCUUGUCAAAAUCUUAAGUGGGUCAUCAUUAAGAGCUAUCUUAUUUUUAAACAUUUCAUAUGUGUUGUUAUGUAUUUCCUAAAAUUGCUACAAUUAGCCAGGCUCUAUUUAAGAGUGUGAAAAGGGCAAAUGUCUACCUUGACUUAGAGGUACCAUUUUUGAGUUAAACUUCAUCAGUAGCAAAGCAUUAGACUUGAAAUGCAUAAGAAAUUCAAUAUUAGCAAUUUCUACAUCAUAGUGUGAUUAUGUAUACCAAAUUUUGCAUAUCUUAUCUAAAAUGGUGUUAUAGUGUAGUUUAACUAAUUUUCCUUAUAUUUUAUGAAAGUCAUUAAAAAUAUUUAUGCCUUUCUUACACUAAUUAAGUAAUAAUUUUUAGACUGCUAUUUAGUACAGGAACUAAUCUAAUACUGCCCAUCUCAUUUUUCUUAUAUGUGAAGAGUUAAAAAUGGAAAGGUCCUAGAGCAUGAGAUAUACAAGCAGAAAUUGCCCAUUAUAAGACUUACCUCUCUCUUGUGAGCUAAAGAUUCAUUAUUCCUGUUUCAAAAUUUAUUCCUAUGGAAAUGCAUCCGAUUUUAGUAGGCUUUCUCUUUCUUUAGAGGUACGUUAGUCAAAAUGGAUAUACCAACCAAACAAAACGCUUGUUCAGUGUAUCUGUUGCUUUAGCAGAGAGUUGAGUAUUUUCUUAUUAAUGUGUAACUGAGCUGCAUUGUUUUCGUAGACCUACAAACCUUCUUUCAACAAGUGCUUCCUAAUUUUGAGAUCUGAAAGUAUGUUCCAGCAUCUUUUGAGUCAUACAACCAAAGUAUGAGGAGAUCACAAGUCUUUUAAAAAGUUGUGCUAAAGGAGAAAUACUUCAGAAGUAUGUUACAUUUGUUUUGGAUCACAGUAUUAUUUAUUUCUCAAGAAGAGAUUUGUUCAUCAUAGUAGUAUUAGCCCGGUGCAGGAAGAACUCAAGUAAAAGGCAAGAAAAAAAAAAAAACAGUGUUGAUUGUGGGAUAUUAAGGAAGGCUAGAAUUUAAGCAACUGAGGUGAAAAAAAAAUGGAGCUGCAGAGUGGUCAAAUUAACUUGUCCAUAAGUCGCAGAGUGAGAUUGUGAACUAGGCCUCUUGCCCCCAGUCCCAUGUCCUUUGCCUUACUUGCAUGGAAGAGAAAAUCAAAGCCUCUCUUCUAUUUGAAG